CUGUUUUAUUAAAAACAUGUCUUUUUGAUUAUAAUUUAAGGUUUAAUCUGCUCAAUGAUUAUUUAAAUUGCCGCAGUAUUUUGACUGUGCAAAGGUAGCAUAAUAAUUAGUUUCUUUAUUGGGAACUGGAAUGAAUGAUUGGACGAGAAAAUUUCUGUCUCUUUAUUAUUUUAAUUGAAUUUUACUUUUAAGUUAAAAGGCUUAAAUUUUAUUAGAGGACGAGAAGACCCUAUAGAGUUUAAUUUUUAUUUAAAUAAUUAUUUUUAGUAUUUAUAUAUAUUAUUUAAAUAAAAAUUUAGUUGGGGUGACUAAAAGAUAAGAAUAACUCUUUUAAUUUUUAUCAAUUAUUUUUGAUUAUAAAAUCUUUAUUUUUAAUUUUAAAAUAAAUUACCUUAGGGAUAACAGCGUAAUUCUUUUUUAAAGUUCUUAUUAAAAGAAGAGUUUGCGACCUCGAUGUUGGAUUAAAAUUAAUUUUAGGUGUAGAAGCUUGAAAAUUAAGUCUGUUCGACUUUUAAAAUUUUACAUGAUCUGAGUUUAAACCGGUGUGAGCCAGGUUGGUUUCUAUCCUUAAUUAUAUAUUAUACUUU
rnacentral:rRNA from 1 species